rnacentral:rRNA from 1 species
GACGAACGCUGGCGGCGUGCUUAACACAUGCAAGUCGAACGGAAAGGCCCUGCUUUUGUGGGGUGCUCGAGUGGCGAACGGGUGAGUAACACGUGAGUAACCUGCCCUUGACUUUGGGAUAACUUCAGGAAACUGGGGCUAAUACCGGAUAGGAGCUCCUGCUGCAUGGUGGGGGUUGGAAAGUUUCGGCGGUUGGGGAUGGACUCGCGGCUUAUCAGCUUGUUGGGGGGGUAGUGGCUUACCAAGGCUUUGAAGGGUAGCCGGCCUGAGAGGGUGAACGGCCACAUUGGGACUGAGAUGCGGACCAGACUCCUACGGGAGGCAGCAGUGGGGAAUAUUGCACAAUGGGCGGAAGCCUGAUGCAGCAACGCCGCGUGCGGGAUGACGGCCUUCGGGUUGUAAACCGCUGUCGCCUGUGACGAAGCGUGAGUGACGGUAAUGGGUAAAGAAGCACCGGCUAACUACGUG